rnacentral:rRNA from 1 species
GGUCCCUAUCUGUCGUGGGCGUAGGAAAUUUGAGAGGAGCUGUCCCUAGUACGAGAGGACCGGGAUGGACGCACCUCUGGUGCACCAGUUGUUCUGCCAAGGGCAUAGCUGGGCAGCUACGUGCGGAUUGGAUAAACGCUGAAAGCAUCUAAGCGUGAAGCCAACCUCAAGAUUAGAUUUCCCAUAGCAUAAGCUAGUAAGGUCCCCGGAAGACUACCGGGUUGAUAGGCCGCAGGUGUAAGCACAGUGAUGUGUGUGCCAGGCGGUACUAAUAGACCGAGGGCUUGACCUA